GCUGGGGGUUUGAACCGGGAUCCUUAAGCCAGUCCUUGUGCUUUGUGCCACCUUCAUUUUACCCACUGCACUACCGCCCAACUCCCCAUGAAAGUCUUUUGAAGAACCAUCAUGCUGUGUCCUCAGCCUUCUAAUCUUAUCUUUUCCAGACCUAGAGACUGCCACAGACCAUCCCCAGUAUGACUUCCACUCUGUCUUUUUACUUUACUUUAAAUACUUUACAGCAUUUAGUUGUAUGAAAGAAAUCAGAACAAGGAGAAUGAAUUUGAAGAUGUUUUUAGUCAUGCAAUACAGGAUGAAAAGAAAUUGAGCAGGGAGGAGAGAUAAAGAGGGAGUGAGAAAAACACCUGCAGACCUGUUUCACCACUCAUGAAGCGUCCCCCCUGCCCCCCGAAGGAUCUGCCACUGAAUGUUGCCACUAAGGAUUAGCUCCUCUGGUUGGAGUCAGAACGCUGAGAUGCUGGAGACCAAGGUCCAGAAAGAGCCACUUUAGAAGAGUUUUUUGGGAUGCUUAUAAAGCAGAAGACCAUAGAUGGCUGUGGGAAAAUCUAAAAAUAAAUAAAUAAAUAAAAAUAAAUACUUAUUUGUAAAAAAGAAGGAGAGAAAAUAAGAAGAGAGCCAGAGCAUCACUCUGUCAUAUGUAAUGCCAGGGAUUGAAUUUAUGAUCUCAUGCUUGAGAGUCUUAACACUUGAUCCACUGUGUCACCUCCUGGGCCACCCCAUGGAAAUAUCUCAUCAGAGUUGAGAUAGCACCAAGCUCUCACCUGCCCUCUCCAACCUGUCUGGAGUUGCUUCCUUUUCUGAAUUAGAACAUUCCACCUGGCACAGAUUUCCUCCAGGCUCCCAAUACCAUAACCUUCCCAAAGACUCUCAGAAAUUCUGUCUUCUCAAAUGUUAGCAAAGCCCUUUCCCUAUCAAGUAGAAUGUAAGUUUGUUUUUUGUUUUGUGCAUACAAACUUUUUGUGGUAUAUGCAAACUUGACUGCAACUGUAUGUGGAAAGCUAUAGGUAUAAGAUUUCCUACAUUCUUGGGCAUGUGAUCUAAUAAGUCUAAUGUCCAGAUCUCAGCAGAAAAGUGCUGCUAUUUCUGUGCACACACAAUUGCCUCCAGGUGUGUUCCCUGUGUGGGCCUAGGAAUAUGCCGUCUUCUCUGGUCCACUAAUCACUUUUAUUUCCCAGUUCAUUUCAUAUAGAAAAAAACCUGAGUUAGCAAUUGUUCUUAAUGUCAACGUUCCAAAGAGGGACAACUAUUAAGAGCAGUUUUAGGAUUGUGUUGGGAGGCCUCUUUCCUUGUGUAAAGAAAUGACUUUUAUCUUCUCAGAGUUACAUGCCAGUAACAAUAGACAUCAAAGAGUUUAAUCAUACUUUUAGAGAACAACUUCUUUUCCACCCCUCCAUACUACUCUGCAGUCAUUUUCCAAAUGUUCUUUGUUCACUUGAGUAAUUUCCCCCAGAUUGCAAAGUAAUGUUCAUAAAUUCCUGUCUGCUGAUUUUUAAUAGUAUACCAACUUAUUUAUUUCUUGAUAGGGACAAAAUAAAUAUUUGUGAACCCUG